GAAGCUGGAAUUGCUAGUAAUGGCAGGUCAGCAUACUGCCGUGAAUACGUUCCCGGGCCUUGUACACACCGCCCGUCACACCAUGAGAGUUGGAAAUACCCGAAGCCUGUGAGCUAACUUAAAGAGGCAGCAGUCGAAGGUAGAGCCAAUGAUUGGGGUGAAGUCGUAACAAGGUAUC
rnacentral:rRNA from 1 species